rnacentral:rRNA from 1 species
GAUGAACGCUAGCGGCAGGCCUAAUACAUGCAAGUCGAGGGGCAGCACGGGUAGCAAUACUGGGUGGCGACCGGCGCACGGGUGCGUAACACGUAUGUAAUCUGCCCUUAACUGGAGGAUGGCCCGGAGAAAUCCGGAUUAAUACUCCAUAGUCUAACUGAGUGGCAUCACUUGGUUAGUAAAGCUCCGGCGGUUAAGGAUGAACAUGCGACUGAUUAGCUGUUGGUGAGGUAACGGCUCACCAAGGCUACGAUCAGUAGGGGUACUAAGAGGUUACACCCC